rnacentral:rRNA from 1 species
UCCCCUAGUAGCGGCGAGCGAAGCGGGAAGAGCUCAAAUUUAUAAUCUGGCACCUUCGGUGUCCGAGUUGUAAUCUCUAGAAAUGUUUUCCGCGUUGGACCGCACACAAGUCUGUUGGAAUACAGCGGCAUAGUGGUGAGACCCCCGUAUAUGGUGCGGACGCCCAGCGCUUUGUGAUACAUUUUCGAAGAGUCGAGUUGUUUGGGAAUGCAGCUCAAAUUGGGUGGUAAAUUCCAUCUAAAGCUAAAUAUUGGCGAGAGACCGAUAGCGAACAAGUACCGUGAGGGAAAGAUGAAAAGCACUUUGGAAAGAGAGUUAACAGUACGUGAAAUUGUUGGAAGGGAAACGCUUGAAGUCAGACUUGCUUGCCGAGCAAUCGGUUUGCAGGCCAGCAUCAGUUUUCCGGGAUGGAUAAUGGUAGAGAGAAGGUAGCAGUUUCGGCUGUGUUAUAGCUCUCUGCUGGAUACAUCUUGGGGGACUGAGGAACGCAGUGUGCCUUUGGCGGGGGUUUCGACCUCUUCACACUUAGGAUGCUGGUGGAAUGGCUUUAAACGACCCGUCUUGAAACACGGACCAAGGAGUCUAACAUGCUUGCGAGUAUUUGGGUGUCAAACCCGGAUGCGUAAUGAAAGUGAAUGGAGGUGGGAACCGCAAGGUGCACCAUCGACCGAUCUGGAUUUUUAAUGAUGGAUUUGAGUAAGAGCACGUAUGUUGGGACCCGAAAGAUGGUGAACUAUGCCUGAAUAGGGCGAAGCCAGAGGAAACUCUGGUGGAGGCUCGUAGCGGUUCUGACGUGCAAAUCGAUCGUCAAAUUUGGGUAUAGGGGCGAAA